rnacentral:lncRNA from 1 species
UAUAACUUCUGGCCUGUCAUGCCCUGUGGCAUUUGACACUUAUAAAACUAUUCAACUCUCAGCUACUUAGUUCCAUGGGGCCCAUCAGAACUGGAUUUGGAGGAGUUCCCAGGUGGCCUAGUGGUUAAGGAUUCAGUGUUGUCAGUUAUGGCUUGGGUUCAAUCUUGGGCGGGAACAGCAAAAAAAGAAAGAAAAGAAAGAGUUGGUUUUUGAGGAGUUGAUGCUUAAAGGAAAACCUUCUGAUAAAACAAAACUCAUGGAAAACUAUUCAGUAGUGAACUUGGUUUAUCAUCCAAACUCUCCUUUUUUCUUUUUACCAUCUUCUAGAGCUUUUCUUUCUAGAUCUGGUGGAAAUAUUCUUCCUCUGUCCGCUUCGACUAUAUCCACCAAGCAUUAGGUACAUAGAUAUACCAAAUAUACACUCUCUACCAAUUUGCCAAUUUGUUGCCAUCAUUCCUCAAAUGAUCUCUUCUGUCGCCAGGGAUACUAGUCGAACUCCAAAAUUCACAGGGAUGUUUGCAGUUCCAGAUAGAAUGCUUGGUAACUCAAGUGAUUAACUCUCUAAAAAAAUAAUUGUAGGUUAAUUCUGAGUGAAUGGGAAAGGUGGAACAGAUACAUUUGCGGCUAGAGGAAGGCUUUAGCAGAGCUGUUUAAAUAAUUUUUUGAAUGCCUUUUGUUAUGACUGUCAUUAAAUCUGGCAAAUAGGCAGUUUAAAAGGUAAUGACCAGAGCCUUUGCUGUGAUAAUCAUGGGAAGAGAAAAGGGACCUUUCCUACCAUGAGAUAUCUCAGUUCUCUUCAAGACUGGUACGUGCCUGAUGGAGGUCCCUGGGUGAAGCUGGAAACAAGAGCUGCACCAAAUUUUGCAGCUUCUAGGAAUUCCAUAAUGCACGCAUCACUUCCCUUUCCUGAAGAAGUCUAUGGAAGCUUUUCAUAAGGUUUAGAAAAGAUGAACCAAGAAUUGGGGAUAGGAGGGGAUUUAGGGGAGAGAUACAUAAAGCUGAAAGUGACAGACAUCCUCCUCUCUCGUCGCUUCCUUAUUUCAAUUCUUCCUACUUCCAGAUGAUACUAUAGCGGGGAUUUGGGGGUUGGAGUGGUGACUCCAUCAUCCAGUGCCUCUGCCUAAAACAGAUGUAGUUUGAUUCUAAACGCCUUUGGAAUAGUUAGCAAAUGGGGAGAGGGAUAAAAAUAAUCAGGCAAAAAUGAUUCCCAUGUACCUGUCCCCUGAGCAACACCUCUGUUUCCUAAAGACCUGAUGCAAAGCUAAGAGCCGAAAAGAAAAAUUUUUAUCUUAUUUUUACCCUGUUGUCAAUAAUAAAAACUGAUUUUAGCCCACUUAGUAUUCUAUGGGAGAUGCUGACCUAGUUAUAUACAUCAGUAUACCUGGAUUUUGAGUAACAGUACCAGGUGGGCUGGGUUUGAAUUCUGUCUAUCAGUGACAUGCCGUAUGAUCUUGGACAAAUUACUUAACCUUCCUGUGCCUCUCAUUUUCCUUGUGUGUAACAUGAGGAUAAUUAUAGUACCUAAUUCAUAGGGUAGUUGUGAUAAUUAAAUAGAAUAAUAAAUAUAAAAUGCAUGUAAACCACCCAUAAAAUUCUGAUAAAUUUCAUACAAUGGAUAUGUAGCUUUUCAGACCUCUCUGCAGCUUGCUGACUGUUCUUCUUGAACUCCACUUGCUUGGCUUUUGAAACAGUGUUUCCUGGUUCUCUUGGCAAACAAUUUACUCACCCCAUAAAUGGUGGUAUUGCUCACAGUUCUGUAAUCUUUUCAGAAAUGACAGUUUUCCAGCAAUGACAUCCCUGCUCUGCAUACUUGAUGAAUCACACAACCCUAUCUCCAGUCCCGAGAUUACCCUAGAACUCCAACAUAUGUCUUUUGAUCUAUUGGAAAUGUAACUUCAACAUACUCUGUGCAGAAUAUACAGAACUAAUAAUCCCCCUUUUUUUUUCAUGGUCACAAGUGUGGCAUAUGGAAGUUCCCAGGGUAGGUGUCAAAUCAGAGCUGCAGCCUACACCACAGCUCACACCAACGAUGGAUGCUUAACUCAUUGAGAAAGUGCUAGGAUCAAACCUGCAUCCUAAUGCUUACUAAUAAGGUUACCACUCAGCCACAACAGGAACUCCAAUACGCACAUAUAAAAAGGAUGGACUUUCCAGAGAUUGCUAAAUGCUUGCAACAGCAAAACAAAAUAUUAAGUUUUUAUGGUUUAUUAUCAUUUCAUUAUCCUAUCUCAAUGACAUCCAAUAGCAAUUAAUAGCAUGCCAAGAAAGAAAAAUUCGCAUUUUUCUGGAUUUCCCAAAAUAUUCAUUUAACUUCACUGUUUAAACCCUUCCCAAAGGAAUUUUCCCCUGGUGAACUUAAAUUUCAACAGGUACAACUUAGAUAUAUCUCUGAAAAGAUUGUAAGUAUGAGUUCUUCAAAGACAUAGCUUUAACUUUUGAAGAACUUUUUUUUUAUCACAUGAAGUUUUUUUUUAUCACAUGAAGUUUUUUUGGUGAGCAUGUUACAGCAGCUGCCCAGCAGCCCUGCGGCCACAGUGUAUCAGCUCUAGCAACAGCCCUGUGGCUGUCGUGCACCAGCUCCAGCAGCUGUGUGGCUGCAGUGGAUCAGCUCUUUCACCCAGCGAGAAACCAAGCGAGCACUUGGAGAGGGGGGGAACUCAGGUUUAUUAUGCCCAUGGGCUCAGAGAUCACUCUCUGGAGUCUGAGCCCCGAACAAGGGUUUCACAAGGCUUUUAUGGGCUAGUUCUUCCAGGUCUGUGCUUGGCUGGUCGGACCAGCGUGAGAACAGGCAGAGUUGUAAUUGCAGAAGCAACUUUACAGAGGCAGAUGCAUGGGAGAAGGGUGGUUAGGGGCAGUUGGCUGGACUUGGCUUAGUCAUCAUGGCCGGGAUCCCUCCUUUUUAUCAGGACAUUUUCUUCUACAGGCAAAGCUCUUGUGAAUAUGUGUUUUUUAAAAAUAUAUAAUCUUAAGAUAAUUAGAAUGUUGAUGCAUUCUCGGUGUUUCUAAAAUUGCAGUGGUUAUUGUUUCCUCUGAAGCCUCUUUGGCCCCAAGGAUAUGGCAUUUAAGUUUUCACCUUUAUUUGAGAAUUUGCUAGGUUUGCCCAAAUUGUAUUAGCAUUUUCACCUUCUGGAGGUCAUUAAACAAUUUUAAUGCUUAGAUUUCCUAUUUAAGUUUCAGUAUCUUUAGUUUAGGUUUACCCAUCUUAAGUGUAGAUAAUAUUUUAAAAUCAGAUAUUUCAUGGAUUGCCUGUGUCAACUUAAAAAGUUUUAUUUGGGGCAAAAUUAGGACUUAAACUCGGGAGACUGCAGCUCAUGUAGCCUUGAGAAAACUGCUCUAAGGAGGCGAGGGGGAAGUCAGGAUAUACAGGAGUUUUUUAUAACAAAGGACAGGUAGUAGGAACAAAAGACUAAAGAAAACCAGACAUCUCAAAGAGUUUAGUGCUUUUCUCUGGGAAGAUGCAAAGUCUGGACUCCCUGAAAUCUUUCCUUGGAUAUGCCUGGGCUAUCAGGGCCAGUAUCCUGCGUUUUCACAGCCUGAGUUCCCUCAGGGUUUGCUGUUAGGAGUUGCUGCAGUCUGGUGGCUGCUAAAUGCAGUUAUAUUUGUUUCUUUCUUGAGUUCCCUCAGGGCUCACUGGCUCUCUCUUGGAGGUGGCUGCAUUUGCAAAUGAAUGUAACAGUCUUGGUUUUGUUGACUUAACCAUGGUCCAGAAGGCAGUAUUUCAGCUAGUUCUCAGGCUAGCUGAAAUACUGCCCCUGAUAGUUGCAACUAUCAGGAUAUAAGUGAUCAAGGUGAAGGGGGAGGGGCACGCAGCCCUGGACACAUUUUACACAAGUUUGCUGCUGGCCUAUUGUGGAAAGUAACAGCAUGUCUUUUCCAUCAAAGGAAAUCUUGGUCACUCCAUUUUGCUCCAGUUUCGCCCUCAUGUGACCCCCACCCCUCCCUUUCCCUCUUCUCUCAUUAACAAUGUGUCUCAAAUUAGCCAACGGGGAAGAGUGUGCACCCUGACCUGACCAAUGGGAAGGGGACAGGUACAUCCCUGCGUUAGGGAUAAACAGGGGAGGGUCACUUUUUGGAGUGCCCGCGCCCUUCUGCAGAAGUCAAGAACCUUGUUGAGCUUUCUCCUUGUCCACGUGUCUCACUUUCUGACACUGAUGACCAGAGCCAGAAUUAUUGUAAUUUCCAACACUGUGAAGGUUAUUACUAGUCACAGGACCAGACAUCACCAUGAAGGAUUUUAGUGUUUUUCUAGAGAGAAGGAAAUGCAAGAAUUGAGUACAUAACAUCUUCUCCUAAAAAUAUCCAUCUGCAGACCCAUUCCUUCAGUUUUCCCAGAGCACAGAGUGCCUCACUCUGAGUAUCCAUCUUGAGCUCUGCUCAGGGGGUGCUGUGGGGUCAGCAGCUGCUGUGGCACAGGAUUUAAUCCAUCCAUGUAGAGGCAGCUGGCAAGUGUCAAGCCCCAGUUUACACCUGUGUAGUGUUCUAAUCUGGGCAUAACUUCAGAAUAUUACCCAAUUUAUUUUGUUUACGUUUGUCUGAUUAUCAGCCUCUAUAUGCUAAAAUAUUUGGCUGCUAUAAUCCAAACUCUCAACAUCUGUGGUGUGUAUAGUCAGACAGCAGGGAUUUCCCUGAACUUUUGUUACUGAGUUUGAAAUCAGGUCUUGUGUCUUCUACAAGCAACCAUGUGUAAUUUGUUAAAAGGGUUCACUUCAGUUGAUAAGUCAUUGCUCAGAAAACACAUGAGCAUGGACACACAGGGGACUUAGGUAAAAGGCUUUUAAAAUAACCCAGAUCCUAUUUCCUACCAUUUGAAGUUAUUUCAGUUUAAUCACAUCUGCUGCUUUCCCCUACAUGCUCCUUCAAGAGAUGGGUCAACCCAUCUUUACAGAAAUUUUAAGAGUCUUCCUAUAUAAUCCUUUCUAUUUAUUGACAAAUGGUUCAUAAAGUUAUUUUUGGCCUCAGAAAAUCAGGUUAUCAGUUUAGAAAAGCCUGAAGGUUAAGCCAGCUAUUUUAUGCAAUGGGGCUUUUUGAUCAAGCCUGUUACUUGAUCAACACAAAAGCAUGUGAUGUUUUGUUAGAGCCCAUUUUAAUUCACCAUAAUUUUUAAGAUAAGACAAAGUCUUUCAGUGGAGGGGGUCACAGUUCAAGUGCUUAGAGGGCUGGGAUGCUAAAAUAAACAAGUAGAGUGGCUGGUGGGGACUGUGGCCAACUGGAGUACUAUGAGAACAGGAGAUAAGCUGGGCCUGGAAGAAUGUAUUCCUGAAAGGGAUAUAAUGUCAGUUAUUUUUAUUAUUCUUUUAGCAUAUGAGUUCCUCAUUUUUUUUCUGAAUGUCACUAGUCUCCAGAACUUUACUUGCAUUUCCUAGCUAGCUUCCCACUUGGGAACAAAUGGUAAAGCCAAGCAAUGCCCUGUGGGGUUCCUGGGCACAAAAGCCUCUGUGUCCCCCCCCACUUUUUUUUAAGGUAAUAAGCUUUAGUCUUCAUGAACUUCCCUGAGUUCCAAAAGGCAAUUUCAGACAGUUGCUAAUCAGGGAAUGGAGUGGAUGCUGAGACUGGGAAGGAGCAGUCAAGAAACUAUAGUGCGGCCUUGGGGCAGGGUCCUGGUUCCCCCCUCAAGGGAUGCACAUAACAAUACUUUUGAGCUCUUCUGCAGAACUAAAACCCCCAACAAAUGAAAGAUGUUAACUACAUGAUGAGGCAUUCUUCAGUCCAGAAAGGAGGACCUCUAGAACCCAUCCCAGGGCCACUAAACACCAGCUUCAAAGAAUGCGAGCUUGUACUUAUCCUGAUCCUUAUCUGUGGCUGGUUCUAUUUUCCAUUCCCAAACUAUAAGACCAUCUCUGAUUAGUCUUAUAGUUUGGGGGCACAGUCUUUGAAGGGCAUGAGUCUGCUGUGGCUUCCGUUGCCUGGCAAUAAAAAUUAUUUUUUUCUCCUUCACUCAAAACUCUAUCUCUGUGUUUCUAUUCAGCACCAGUGGAUAGAGGCUAUGCUUCAGCAACAAUGGCUCUGUUACUGAUGGGUGGCGUUUUGGUUGAUGUGGUGCAGAAAUGUGGAAAAAUCAAUAUACCUGGUUGUUCCCACUAAUUAUUCACCCAGUCCUUCUGUUACUAAUCCCAGAAACAAAUGCCUCACCAAUUCAUGCUCAGGGCAUGCUUAGAGCCACUUCCACUUUUUUGCAAGAGAGUUCUGUGUUUUUUUUUAUUUAAUCAUAUUCCUCUGCUUUCUCUCUUUCUAUGAUUCUCUCUGGUUAAUAUUCAUCAAGGGUAACUCUUGUAGUUUUCCAAUUGAUAAAUUAAAUCUAUAAAAAUAUCUUUAAUGUUUAGAAACUUGAAGUGGGAGAUGGAGUUUGUAGAAAGUGUGGUAUUUUGAAUUAAAACUCACCAAUUUUUAUUUUAUAGAAGAUAGCCAGAUUAUAAAAGAAUAGAAAAGUGCUGAGUAUGGAAUAAGCCUCUUUUUAUUUUUUUAAAAAUAAUCAUUACUUUUUGGAGUUCCCGUCAUGGCGCAUUGGUUAACAAAUCCGACUAGGAGCCAUGAGGUUUCGGGUUCGAUCCCUGGCCUUGCUCAGUGGGUUAAGGAUCCGGCGUUGCUGUGAGCUAUGGUGUAGGUUGCAGAUGUAGCUUGGAUCCCGUGUUGGUCUGGCUCUGGCAUAGGCCGGCGGCAACAGCUCCAAUUAGACCCCUAGCCUGGGAACCUCCAUAUGCUGCAGGAGCAGCCCUAGAAAAG